CCCUUUGAUACUCUGGGCGGCACGCGCGCUACAAUGGAUAACUUAACGUGUUACAUGUCCGAAAGGAUGUAUGCAAAUCACAAAUGUUAUGUCUCGAGUGGGAUAGUUUACUGCAAUUAUAGACUUGAACUAGGAAUCCCUUGUAGGUACACUGAAGCAUAGUGUACCGAAUACGUCCCUGUCGUUUGUACACACCGCCCGUCGUUUCUUCCGACUGAUACUCAUUGUGAAUUGCGGGGAUAACGUUGUUGAAAACCGUUGUAAAUGCUGGGUAUUGGAGGAAGAAAAAGUCGUAACA
rnacentral:rRNA from 1 species